rnacentral:rRNA from 1 species
CCCAUGUUCGGGGCUCUCCGGAGAGAUAAUACCCCUACUCCUGCAUGUCUGUGUAUCUGUAGUAUAUCUGGUACAGGGUUGCUCCUGGAGCUGUAUCGGAGAUCAGUGCCAAGUGCAUCUGAUCUGGUAUAUGCAUGCGCAUGGGGCAUGCUAGUGUCCGGCCAUGCUCAUGGCCGUGAGCCUGUGGGUGCUCAUGCGUGAGUGUGUAUGAGAGUGAGUCCAUCCUCCCUGGAUGGAUGGAUGUGUGCCCAUAUAUAUAGGCAUGGCUAGCUUAGGAAGUAAGCUAAGUGGUGGCAUGGGCAAGGCAUGGUGGGGUGUCAUGCUUGUCCCCUGGGUCACUUCAUAAAUAGUGCCAGGGGACAAGUGACACUAUACAUGAUGCCUGGGGUGACACGUCAAUAGUGCUCGGGUACGACCGUCUCGUCGGUGUCUUGUCGGUGUCGAGUCGGGCUGAAGCCGGCAGCCGGCUAGUUGGUGCAGUCGACAGCCGGCAGCCGGCCAGGCAGAGCAGUCGGACUGGGAGCCGGCAGGAGCAGCCGGGCAGUUGGACUGAGGGGCUUUGCUAGCCCCGAUGUCUUGAAAUAUUGUCUUGCCGUCUUCGGGAUACCCGUGGCCAAUUACUCCGACAAUAGCCCCCAAGCCUCUGGGCAACUUGGCAAAGUUGGGCGGAGGUUUUUUGGCGGGUGUUCAUGGAAAUGAUCAUGCAAAAGACAAAGUUAGUCCACGUAGAUAUAUCAAAUGAUUGCUUUUAGCGUUGCAAGUUUUAUGCAGAGGGUGUCGACUCGGUUUUGUCCGAGCCCCCUUCAAUCUUUUUCGUGUUCCCUCCGCUUUUUGGCUUGUGCUCUCGCUCGCCGGACAGCCGCUCUGCGGUCUGUGGCUGAGAGUGGGCCGCGAAGCGGAGUGUACAGUACUCAGACUCUGGGAGCGAAUUUAACCGAGCAGAUACUCAUAAAGAAAACGGCCGGGUCGCCCGAACCGCUUUUCUUCCCGGACGUUUUUCGCGUGGGUGGCCUCCAGCGUUCACUCUUGCUAGCCGGACAGCCGCUCUGCGGUCUGUGACUAAGAGUGGGCCUUUGGUACCGCGCACGCUACUAAGCCGUCUGUGGGAACAAAUGUCUCAGGCCAAGCGGCCAGCCCCCGGGCCAACUCUGGCUGGCGCCGGGGCAAACAGUGCUGCAACUAUAAUAAAAUGCGGAGAUAGCCCCCGAGCAUUGCUCGGGGUUAUCCGUGCUCUCGCGGUGAAAAAAAUAUGCGGGUGAGGAGCUCACGUUGAUUUUCGUGUAGCCCAGGCGGAGGUCGUCGAAGACAGCCGGCGCUCGCGGAGCGCAUCAGCGCACCCGCUGGGUGUAGUCCUCGAGCCUCCAGGCGCUCGAGGAGGGGUCCUGGCCGGUCAGGCUCGACCGGCUAGGCGGCGAGGCAUCUUGCAGCGCCCUUUUUCUUCUUAUGCCGGCUGCUGGCAGCCGGACAAAACUCUUCUCUUGUCUGCGAUCUUCCGUGGGGGCGCGCCAGCGCACCCACUGGGUGUAGCCCCCGAGAUUCGGGCCGACCGCUGAGCAGUCAGCCCGGAUCUUCCGGCAACUACUUUGUCUUCUUUCUCGCGGGGCCGCGCCAGCGCACCCGCUGGGUGUAGCCCCCGAGUUUCGGGCCGACUGCUGAGCAGUCGGGCCGGAUCUCCCGGCGACUACUUUGUCUUCUUCUUCACGGGGGCGCGUCAGCGCACCCGUUGGGUGUAGCCCCCGAGAUUCGGGCCGACUGCUGAGCAGUCGGGCCGGAUCUCCCGGCGACUACUUUGUCUUCUUCCCUUUUUCUCGUCAGCCCGCUGUGCGCAGCCGUACCGGCUCGUCGGUCGGCCAGGCAGUGAAGCGGGCAGACGAGCCAGCCGGCCGGGCGGCAACGUGGGCUUUUGACCAGAGCAGUCGGCUGGAC